AGAAAAAAAACAAGUUCCAGUUCGGAAGAAGUUGCAUUUAAAAUAUUCGCAGUUGCCUUCUGUCACGUCCUUGAUCAAGGAGUGAUGAAGUCUCACUCUGUCACCCAAGCUGGAGUGCACUGGUGUGAUCAUAGCUCAUUGCAGCCUGGAACUCUUGGGCUCAAGCAGAUAUUAGAACACAGGGAAUGAGUUGACCAGUGACCCAGCUGCUGCACUCAGAAAUCUACCAACCACCAUGUUUCCAUGGAGGCCAAGCUUUCCCCACUGCUCCCAGGGAGUGAUUGAGCGUGGCAGGAUUCUCAGGCAAGCCCACUCCUGGGAAAUGCACCACUCCUGUCAUGGGCGCCCCAUCAGCUUUGCAGAAACUUUUGCAGAACCUUGUUCAAAGUCUUUCCCUUCUUCACUGGUGCUAGACUUGCACUGAGGUCUGAUGACUGUCCUGGACUUUGCUGGCUCCCUUCCCAUUUUCUGUAGCAGAAUUUUCCCUAAUAAAUCACUUGCACUCUU
rnacentral:lncRNA from 10 species